UUAAAAUGAAUUGACGGGGCCCGCACAAGCGGUGGAGCAUUGUGGUUUAAUUCGAUGCAACGCGAAGAACCUUACCUGGGCUUGACAUCCCGAGAAUCUUCUGGAAACAGGAGAGUGCCCUUCGGGGAACUCGGUGACAGGUGCUGCAUGGCUGUCGUCAGCUCGUGUCGUGAGAUAUUCGGUUAAGUCCGCUAACGAGCGCAACCCUCACUGUGUGUUAUAUGUGUCACACGGGACCGCCGGUCUUAAGCCGGAGGAAGGUGGGAUGACGUCAAGUCAGCAUGGCCUUUAUAUCCUGGGCUACACACACGCUACAAUGGCCAACACAAUAGGUUGCUAAGCCGCGAGGUGGAGCCAAUCCAUAAAGUUGGUCUCAGUUCAGAUUGUAGGCUGCAACCCGCCUGCAUGAAGAUGGAGUUGCUAGUAACCGCAGGUCAGCUAUACUGCGGUGAAUACGUUCCCGGGGCUU
rnacentral:rRNA from 1 species